rnacentral:tRNA from 1 species
GGUGGCUCAGUGGUAGAGUGCUUGCCUUGCACACAUGAGGUCCUGGGUUCAAUUCCUCAGCACCA